AUUGAACGCUGGCGGCAUGCCUUACACAUGCAAGUCGAACGGCAGCACGGGUGCUUGCACCUGGUGGCGAGUGGCAAACGGGUGAGUAAUACAUCGGAACGUACCUUAUCGUGGGGGAUAACGCAGCGAAAGCUGUGCUAAUACCGCAUACGCCCUGAGGGGGAAAGCGGGGGAUCGCAAGACCUCGCGCGAUUAGAGCGGCCGAUGCCUGAUUAGCUUGUUGGUGGGGUAAAAGCCCACCAAGGCGACGAUCAGUAGCUGGUCUGAGAGGACGAUCAGCCACACUGGGACUGAGACACGGCCCAGACUCCUACGGGAGGCAGCAGUGGGGAAUUUUGGACAAUGGGGGCAACCCUGAUCCAGCAAUGCCGCGUGAGUGAAGAAGGCCUUCGGGUUGUAAAGCUCUUUUGUCAGGGAAGAAACACCGGCUCUAACACAGUCCGGGAAUGACGGUACCUGAAGAAUAAGCACCGGCUAACUACAUGCCAGCCGCCGCCGUAA
rnacentral:rRNA from 1 species